rnacentral:pre_miRNA from 1 species
AAGAUUUUAUAAAAAGGUGUCUUGAUGGACACAGGUAUAAGAAGUUUU